CCUACGGGAGGCAGCAGUGGGGAAUAUUGCACAAUGGGGGAAACCCUGAUGCAGCGACGCCGCGUGAGUGAAGAAGUAUUUCGGUAUGUAAAGCUCUAUCAGCAGGGAAGAAAAUUACGGUACCUGAUCAAGAAGCCCCGGCUACCUCCGUCCCAGCAGCCGCGGUAAUACGGAGGGGGCAAGCGUUAUCCGGAUUUACUGGGUGUAAGGGGAGCGUAGGCGGUUGUGCAAGUCUGAAGUGAAAGCCCAGGGCUCAACCCGGGGACUGCGUUGGAAACUGUGGGGCUAGAGUGCUGGAGAGGUAAGUGGAAUUCCCAGUGUAGCGGUGAAAUGCGUAGAUAUUGCGCAGAACUCCGAUUGCGAAGGCAGCAUACCGGAGGCGAUCUGACGCUGAGGCACGAAAGCGUGGGUAUCGAACAGGAUUAGAUACCCCAGUAGUC
rnacentral:rRNA from 1 species